UUAAUAUUCCAAGUCCAUCUCUUUACUCAUCUAAUUCUCUUUCUUCCGUUGCUCUCAGCGACUUUUUUCUUGCUCCACUACUUCAAGAAGGUGUCAUUUUUGGGUGAGUUUUUAAAUUCCUCUGGUUUUUCUGGAUCUACAUGUUCGAGUUUUUUUCACUUUUUAUGUUCAGAGUUCUUUCAUAAAUUUUGGCUUUUCCUGAUUUUACAAUAUAUUUGCUAUAAUUUUCUAGCCUCUAUUGCGUUUGUUAAGUCUAAUAAAGUUUUACCCAGGCACGACAGCGGGCAGUGACGGAUCCAUAAUAUUUUAUAAACGGUGCCAAUAGUUUUUAUAAAAUAAUAAUAAAUGAAUUAAUUCUAUAAUGACUGGGAGUAUUUCUAUUCUUCUUCUCAUCUAUAUUUACAUAUUUAGUAAAGAAAUACGAUAGAGGCUCUCGUGAUACCGCACAGGAUAAAGUGUAUUUGUUCCAUAUGGCAAGGUAUAUAUAAACUUUUACUGAAUUUACUAGCUUUAAAUUUUGAAUUUAUCGUAGGAAGUCUCAUUCUCUUUACUUUGGUCAAAAUUCUUGCGGGUUCGGAGCUGCAGUCAUCCGGUGAUUCGAAAAAUAAUAUUUUGGGAUUUUUGGGAAACGAGCAUAAAGGGACUACCAAAGUACUUCCAGAGAGUACUAGCAAUGUCUCCAUUCAUAAAGGAAUGUUGAAUGGUUUCCACUUUGAGGAAUUCUACAACAGAAACAUUUAGAUACCAGGUUUUGUUUGAACUUGUAUAGGAUGUCAUCAAAGGGUGGUUUGACAUCAUGACAUCAUGAAAGGUAUGUAUUUGUUCCAGAUUUUCAUAAGCAAAAUAUUUCCUUUUUGUUUUGCCUUAACAAAGCCCAAGCAGAAGAGGUAGAAAAUAUUCCAUUGUUAUUAGGGGUCCAAAUAGGUAUAUCCUUCUUAUCUUGUUCCCCAAUAUCAAUUGCAAGAAUAUGUUUAGCUAAGAAUUCUGGAAAAUGCAUCAUAUCAAUGUUUCAUACCCCAUUGUUGAUAAUGUCAGCAACUCUAGUAUCCAUAGGAGGGUCUUGCAUGUGAAUAAACUGAGCCACUGCCCCCAUAUUAGUCCAGUUGUCCCACCAUAGCUUGCCGUUUCCACAAUUAAUCUUCUAUACAAUGUUGUCUUCCAUCAUGUCCCUACAUUUGAGCAUCUUUCUCCAAAUAAGAGAUUGGGUAGGCAUGAUUUGUUUAGCUAUAGGAGAUGUGAAUCUACAGAAUUUAGCAUUAAGAAAUUUGGACCAAAUAGAGUAUGUGGUCCUAAAUUUCCACCAUCUUGGACCGGAUGGUGUAUUAAAUACAAGUAUUAGUUGAGCACAAACUUUAGAAGAUUCGCCGCUCAGACAAUAAUCUGGGCUCUGAGAUUAAGGCCAUGAUCAUAUAAUUCUAACACUUUAUUAGCCACAAAAGAAAUCUUCAUCUAGUUGACUUACUUGCUGAACAAGAAGUGGCAAGUUGGGUGUAUUAGUGGGAUAAAAAGGCAUGACACGUGGACUAUUAUCAAAGUGACAGGACAUGAAACGUGGACCAUCAAUAUAGCGACAACUGGCGUUCUUAAUUAGACAAUUUAAAGAAUACGAAAAAGGUACAGGAGGAACACCCUCAGGGUUACACUGAGAAAAUAACCGGACCUGACAGCUGUAAAAGGAGAAACAGGAGCAGAUGAAUAAAGGCUGUUAAGAAGGGAAGAUGCACGGACCUAUCAUAAAUAAGGGAAGGAAUUCGAUACGGUUACAGGAAAUCUUUAGCUAUAAAUACUUCCGUUAUAAUUGUAUAUGGUAGCGGGUGAUCAAGGCAAUUAAUGCCAUUAGUAAGGCCGAAUUAAGUAAGAAAACUUUUAUAAUUGUAUGCUCCUAUAUAAGGACUGAAACCUCAUUUGUAAUAUCAUCUGAUAAUUAUUGAAAUUUAUGCAAUCAUUCUUUGCUUUAUUCUCAA